rnacentral:rRNA from 1 species
GAUGAACGCUGGCGGCGUGCCUAACACAUGCAAGUCGAGCGAGAAGCUUAUGAAUGAUCCUUCGGGUGAACGAUUAAGUGGAAAGCGGCGGACGGGUGAGUAACGCGUGGGUAACCUGCCCCAUACAAAGGGAUAGCCACUGGAAACGGUGAUUAAUACCAUAUAAAACUAUAGUGUCGCAUGACACAUUAGUCAAAGAUUUAUCGGUAUGGGAUGGACCCGCGUCUGAUUAGCUAGUUGGUAAGGUAACGGCUUACCAAGGCGACGAUCAGUAGCCGACCUGAGAGGGUGAUCGGCCACACUGGAACUGAGACACGGUCCAGACUCCUACGGGAGGCAGCAGUGGGGAAUAUUGCACAAUGGGCGCAAGCCUGAUGCAGCAACGCCGCGUGAGCGAUGAAGGCCUUCGGGUCGUAAAGCUCUGUCCUCAAGGAAGAAUAAAUGACGGUACUUGAGGAGGAAGCCCCGGCUAACUACG